rnacentral:sRNA from 1 species
NGAUAAUCUGGCUGUAAUGUUCAUCACAAUUUACCGUCAGGGAUGAGUUUGGCUAAUCUGAUUGACUCUAUAGAUGAAUUCUUUCUUACUACUGUCGAUAAUGUGUCACUGGGAGAUGCACAUUUACCUGAGAAGGAAAACCUUCCCAGAGGAGGAUCAAAUUGCUGAUCAGUGUAUGGGAGCAGCUGUGCUCUUCUUCUGAACACUUCAAUGAAGCUUGCAAGCGCCAUUCGUAGCAGACUAUAGAUAGUUAAAAUUCUAAGACUCCAGACACAUCUAAAUGAAGUGUCACAUGUGAAAGCCGGCUUCUCU